rnacentral:piRNA from 1 species
UGGCUGUCAAAAUCACAUGUGGUGUG